CAGGACCACAUGUUGUCCUCGGGCACCUCCGGGUGGCGAUGCUGAGACGGUGGGAAGUGUUUCUGGAUGGAGUUGUUACACAGGUGAACUGAGCUGUGAUGGGACACAGAAAGAAGGACAGCAGAGAAGACGCACCCCUGCCUCGUGACUUGGCCCCGGGCUUAACGAUCCAGAUGUUGUGGAUUCCGUCUGUUUCCAGCUGGGGACAGACCUUCCGCAGCCUCUGCAGCAUCGCCCGACAGCGGUCUGUGUACCGAGCGCUGUCAUCCAUCGUCACGCCGUUGCUGCGGAAAUGAGGGACACCAGCCAAAAUGACAAAAAGGAAAAUGGAUAUAUGAUCAUUUUUCUAUGCAGCAAAACACCAAUAGAAAUACGUGCUUUCAUUACGAACCAGACGAGACUUGAAAGAGGUGAAAGAAGAGGACGAUUAAAAUCCUCAUCUUCUUCAUCCCUGUGGCGGCAUCUCGCCAGGGGGUUUGGGUGCGGUAUGUGGCGUUCCACCCAGCCCCGUGC